UCGUUUCAAUUUCUCUAACUAAUUGACACACUACUCCAUCUCUGUGCAAUCAAACCUCUCGAAAAUUCACAUCUACUUGGGAGUACUUAAUCGCCGGUGGCCAAAUAUGCAGCUUUAAUAUAACCAAAGCAAUGAUUGCCAGAUCCACUUCUCCAGAAAAUUCGAGCACUGAAACACCAGCGAAAUCCCACAUCGUCUUGGAAAGCUUCAAGUCUCGACCUUUCUGCAUCCUCUGUCUGUUAACUUUGGAAUCUAGGAUCGUGGCUCUAUCAGUUCGCAUGAUCCAUCAAGACCCAAAUUGUUCAUAGUCAUUGAUACAUCCUAUUGUUUUCCGUAAAAGUUUGUUUAAUUCAAUUAUCAUAAUCAUGUUUUCGGAACAUAUGGUUCUGAGUUUUUUCUUAUUUUGUUUUGUUUUGUGGUUUCUUCCGUCAAGUCUCAGCUUUUUGUAUAGUUAUGUGUUUGCAGGCGUUUCCAGGUCACAUGAACACUGUUUCUUGCCUAUGUUUCAGACACGGGAUUUCAGAAGUCUAUUCUGGUUCUUUUGAUUGGAGUGUCAAGGCGUGGAAUGUACAAGGUUGAGCUUUUGUGCAAGACAGUUUCGGACACCAGGAUGAGAUCCUAGCCAUUGAUGCGCUGAGGAAGGAGCGUGCACUUACUCUUGGAAGAGAUAGAACCAUGCUAUUACACAAGAUGUCUGAGACAAGUUGUACGAUUUACCGUGCACCUGCAUCGUCUCUUGAGAGCUGUUGUUUCAUCAAUGAUACUGAGUACCUGUCUGGUUCGGACAAGAAUUGACUGUUGAAAAAGAAACCAGUGUUUCUCCUUAAGAAUGCACAUUCCGGCUGGUGGAAUCACCACUAAUGGUAAUUGAAUCUUAACAUCAUUUAGUUGCAGAGAUCAUGAUGCUCUGAAAAGUCUUAAUGCUUUCUUCUUUUCCUAAACCAGUAAU